rnacentral:rRNA from 1 species
CACGUAGUUAGCCGUCCCUUUCUGGUAAGCUACCGUCACAGUGUGAACUUUCCACUCUCACACCCGUUCUUGACUUACAACAGAGCUUUACGAUCCGAAAACCUUCUUCACUCACGCGGCGUUGCUCGGUCAGGGUUACCCCCAUUGCCGAAGAUUCCCUACUGCUGCCUCCCGUAGGAGUCUGGGCCGUGUCUCAGUCCCAGUGUGGCCGAUCACCCUCUCAGGUCGGCUAUGUAUCGUCGCCUAGGUGAGCCAUUACCUCACCUACUAGCUAAUACAACGCAGGUCCAUCUUGUAGUGGAGCAAUUGCCCCUUUACAAAUAAAUGACAUGUGUCAUCCAUUGUUAUGCGUAUUAGCUAUCGUUCAAUAGUUACUCCCCGACUACAAGGCUAGGUUACCUACGGCGUUACCUCACCCGUUCGCAACUCACUCCAAAGAGAGCAAGCUCCUCUCUUCAGCCGUUCUACUUGCUAUGUAUUAGGCACGCCCGCCAGCGUCUC